GAACUACUCCCUUCGUUUCAUAAUUCUUGUCUCAAAUUUGUCCAAAAGUGAAUGUAUCUAUUCCUAAAAUGUGUCUAGAUACAUGUAAUAUUUUGACAAGAAUUAUGAAACGGAGAGAGUAGAUA
rfam:Brachypodium distachyon strain Bd21 chromosome 4, whole genome shotgun sequence.